rnacentral:rRNA from 1 species
GAUGAACGCUGGCGGCGUGCUUAACACAUGCAAGUCGAACGAAGCACUUUAUUUGAUUUCCUUCGGGACUGAUUAUUUUGUGACUGAGUGGCGGACGGGUGAGUAACGCGUGGGUAACCUGCCUUGUACAGGGGGAUAACAGUUGGAAACGGCUGCUAAUACCGCAUAAGCGCACAGCAUCGCAUGAUGCAGUGUGAAAAACUCCGGUGGUAUAAGAUGGACCCGCGUUGGAUUAGCUAGUUGGUGAGGUAACGGCCCACCAAGGCGACGAUCCAUAGCCGACCUGAGAGGGUGACCGGCCACAUUGGGACUGAGACACGGCCCAAACUCCUACGGGAGGCAGCAGUGGGGAAUAUUGCACAAUGGGCGAAAGCCUAAUGCAGCGACGCCGCGUGAGCGAAGAAGUAUUUCGGUAUGUAAAGCUCUAUCAGCAGGGAAGAUAAUGACGGUACCUGACUAAGAAGCACCGGCUAAAUACGUG